rfam:Daucus carota subsp. sativus cultivar DH1 chromosome 8, whole genome shotgun sequence.
UGGUGCGAUCAUACAUGCACUAAUGCACCGAAUCCCAUCAGAACUCCGAAGUUAAGCGUGCUUUGGCGAGAGUAGUACUAGGAUGGGUGACCCCUUGGGAAGUCCUCUUGUUGCACCAU